UAGGAUUCCCUCAGUAAUGGCGAAUGAACAGGGAUCAGCUCAGCAUGGAAAUUGGGGCCUCUGGCCUUGAAUUGUAGUCUUGAGAUGGCAUUGCCAGCGGAGGCGCAGAUGUAAGCCUCUUGGAAAAGAGCAUCAAUGAGGGUGAGAGUCCCGUUUGUCAUCUGCAGUCCCCGUGCACGGCUUGCUUUCUAAGAGUCACGUUCCUUGGGAUUGGAGCGCAAAUUGGGUGGUAAAUUUCAUCUAAAGCUAAAUAUUGGUUCGAGACCGAUAGCAAACAAGUACCAUGAGGGAAAGGUGAAAAGGACUUUGAAAAGAGAGUUAAAAGUGCCUGAAAUUGCUGAAAGGGAAGCGAAUGGAACCAGUUUUUCUUGGCGAGAUUGUUGCGUGCUAAUGUGAUGGCUUGUUGCUUCAACGCAAGUGUUGCAGCGGGUUUUGAUCUGGACGUGCGCGGUGCUUCUUGCCUUGGGUGUCAACGUCGGUUCAGACUUGAGGAAAACUCCAGGGACAUGGUUAGUCACUUCUGGGUGACUGAACGUGCUUGGCAGAACUCAUUUCUGAACUGAAUUCCGCAUGUCUGGUCGCAGUGCUUUCACCUCCUGGGCUUUGUUCACUGCUCUUAAGUGGGCCUCUGUGCAUGGGACAGGACGUGGGGCAUCUCCCUGACAUCAGUACGAUGACAAAAUGGUUUCAUUCGACCCGUCUUGAAACACGGACCAAGGAGUCUAACAUAUGUGCAAGUUCACGGGUGUUAAACCUGCUUGCGCAAUGAAAGUGACUGCUGGGAUAUUUGCACCAGCAACCGACCAAUCAAUUGUGAGAGGUUUGAGUAUGAGCAUAUCUGUUAGGACCCGAAAGAUGGUGAACUAUGCCUGAGAAGGGUGAAGUCAGGGG
rnacentral:rRNA from 1 species